rnacentral:rRNA from 1 species
CGCAAUGGGCGAAAGCCUGACGGAGCAACGCCGCGUGAGGGACGAAGGCCUCUGGGCUGUAAACCUCUUUUCUCAAGGAAGAAGAUAUGACGGUACUUGAGGAAUAAGCCACGGCUAAUUCCGUGCCAACAGCCGCGGUAAUACGGGAGUGGCAAGCGUUAUCCGGAAUUAUUGGGCGUAAAGCGUCCGCAGGCGGCUUUUCAAGUCUGCUGUUAAAAAGUGGAGCUUAACUCCAACAUGGCAGUGGAAACUGAAAGGCUUGAGUAUGGUAGGGGCAGAGGGAAUUCCCGGUGUAGCGGUGAAAUGCGUAGAUAUCGGGAAGAACACCAGUGGCGAAGGCGCUCUGCUGGGCCAUUACUGACGCUCAUGGACGAAAGCCAGGGGAGCGAAAGGGAUUAGAUACCCCUGUAGUCCUGGCCGU